rnacentral:rRNA from 1 species
UGCGUAGGUGGUUUCUUAAGUCAGGAGUGAAAGGCUACGGCUCAACCGUAGUAAGCUCUUGAAACUGGGAAACUUGAGUGCAGGAGAGGAAAGUGGAAUUCCUAGUGUAGCGGUGAAAUGCGUAGAUAUUAGGAGGAACACCAGUAGCGAAGGCGGCUCUCUGGACUGUAACUGACACUGAGGCACGAAAGCGUGGGGAGCAAACA